CGAUUAACUACCCCAAGACGUGGAGUCACAAGUACAUGAGCUACUAGAGUUUGCUAAAUAUAUUGUCUUGAAAGAAAUACAAUACUAUCUGAAAAAUAGAAACAGUACAUUAGAAAUGAAAAGAUGACUAUAAGGCCUGCAAACGGCAUGCAGCUCUACCUCAAGUCCUCCGUCUAGUGUCUGCUAAGCACCUCUCAAGACUCUACUGGUACCAAUGUCUAAAUCUGCACUACCGAUCCAAUAAACUUCGUAAGUGUCGAGCCUAACCUCGACGAGGUAGUGGCGAGGCUAAGACAAGACACCUACAUAAAACUUGUGCAGUUAAGUAGCUAGAAAUAACGAGACGCCAAUUAACAUAUCAAGUAAAAUAAUACGAAAAUAACAUGUAAGACAGUUAACAAGUACAUAGGUAAAGGGAUAUAAAGCGAAAAAAUAAGCAAAGGUAGUACUAAAUAAACCACCGCUCAUACCUCUACAACAAUUCGGAACAAAUCUUGCAAACAUGAUUUCGGAGCAAUAAGGCCAAAUUCUCAGUCAGUAUAGCAAAAUAAAGAACACAUUACCAACAAACGACAUGACAUCACCUUUCGUGCUUUUACUCUCAUCCUCACAACAUAAUGUAGUAGCUAGUACGGAAACACCCUUCAGGCACAGUCACGCUCCGUCACAAGCACGAAAAUACCCUUCGCGCAUUUUACUCUUCCUCACUAAACAUCACAUAUAAAAUAAUACCAAGUAAUGUAGGAAGCAUAAUCAACAUCAAAGACAAUAUUUGAAUAUACUGUGCCAUAAGAGAAUUUACAAACAUCAUUGCACCAAUAAAUAAAUCAACAAUUCGAUAGUCUUAACACCCAAAUCUUAAUAAGCUCAAUAUGGAUAAUAACAUGGAUAGAGAAAUUUAACUGUUUCACAGUCUAUCUAAAGCAUGGAAGACAUAAUACAUAAGGUAACAUAGUAUAAAUAAAGAUAACACUACCGGCAUGCUUAAUCCACUGCCUACGCAUGUACACUCGUCACCUUGCAUAUACGCUCCCCGCCAUAAGAGAAUUUACCAACAUCAUUGCACCAUUAAGUAAAUCAACUAUUCGAUAGUCUUAACACCCAAUAUCUCAAUAUGCUCAACAUGGAUAAUAACAUGGAUAGAGAAAUUAAACUGUUUCACAGUCUAUGUAAAGCAUGGAAGACAUAAUACAUAAGGUAACAUAGUACAAAUAAAGCUAACAUUACCGGCAAGCUUAAUCCACGGCCAACGCAUAUAUACUCGUCACCUUGCAUAUACGCUUCCCUCCCCUCCUCCCCUCCCCCCCCCCCCUCCCAAACAUGUAUAUUACGUAGAAAAUAGACUCAAUUACACCCUAAUUCCCUCAAAUCAAGGUUAACCAUGACACUUACCUCUUUCCGAAAUAAGAUCAACAAUCCAACACGGCCCUCCCUUUGGAACAAGCCUCCAAACCACCCGAAUCUAGUCAAUUAUUACUCAAAUAAGUCAAAACAAGCUUUAGAAACUACCCUAGUAUCAAAAAGGUUGCAUCUUCAACAUAAAUAAAAAUUCAACAUGGGCUCACGUGGCCAAAAUUCAAAAUUAAGACCAAAUAGCGAUUACCCAUUCACCCCGAAUCCGAAUAUCUGAUUUGUUUCGAAACCCGACCCCGAUUUGAGGUCUAAAUCUCAAUUUUAUAAAAUUCCUAAUUCUUACCCAAAACCACUAUUUCUACUUUAUGAAAUCGUAGAUUUGAUAGUGAAAUAAAAAUAAGUUAAAGUUGUUAACCUAUGAAGUUGGGAAGAGUUUCCUUCCAAAAAUUGCUUCUAUGGGGUCUAGGUUUCAAAAAUGAUGUAAAAUAAGCUAAGUCCUGAAAUCUAAAUCUUUUACCCAGCUGUAGGUAUCGCAAUUGCGAACUCUUGUUCUCAAUUGCGAUGUUUGCAAAAGCGAACCACUGAUUGCAAAUUUGAACAGUGUCUGAGCCCCUCAGAUGUUACAAACUCUCAACCAUCUAAUUUCAUCAAUUAAAUCAUUUCUCAUUUUCUACAACAACCACCAAUUAAGGUUAGAAACUUAUGGAUUCUUAUCACAAUCCCAUAAGUUCUAACAUUUUUUUACACAUAUAAUCACAAUAAUCUAUGCAUGUAAGUUUAAAGGUGUAAAAUAAUCUAGAAAAAACCCUAAAAAAAAUCCUCAUUUGAGCUCUUGAGAUGAUUCUUGAAAACUCUAGACGUUCCAUGAGUAGAAGAUGUCAAUUUUUGUAAAAAGAAAUAUGAUAAGUGGUGAUUUACCACUUAAUAUAGUUCAUUUGCUCUAGUUUUUGUAUCUUUUAAUUAUAAUAUGAGGUUAUUUAUGGUGUGUAUUUCUAGAUUUUCAGGUAAAAUAGUCGUGAAGAGAGUUAAGAUCAAAUGAAGUGGAAUUAAGCAAAAAUAGUUGAAGAAGUGCAAAAUUUAUCCAGUAGUCUUAUAUUUGUGGGAUACCUAUCGCAUCUGCGGAAAGGGAAACAUCUAUACAGGCAUCGCACCUGCGCAAGUUCCUCUGCAUCUAUGGAGUCGCCUCUACGCUUGUUGACCGCAUCUGCAUAAGCGCUUAUGUGUUUCAAAGUCCGCUUCUGCGGAAUGCCAAUUUCUCACAAGACCUCGCACGCGGCCAACAGGCUUCAGUUCUGGGCAAAUUUGCCAUUUCAUAUUUUCUUGAUCCUAAACCCACAAAAACUCGACCUAGCUCAUCUUUGGCACAUAUUUGGCAUUCUUGACUGAAAUACAAGCAUUGAAUCUAGGGUUCUUGCACCCACACUUGGAAAUUGAAGAUUUGAAGACUUUGGAUGAGAUUUUCUUAUCCUUUUUACUCAUUUCUUCAAUUUUAAAUGUGUAGUAUUUAUUCCAAUACUU
rnacentral:lncRNA from 1 species